rfam:Thelohanellus kitauei scaffold03015, whole genome shotgun sequence.
GCGUUGGUGGUUCAGUGGUAGAAUGUUAGCUUGCCAUGCUAAUGACCUGGGUUCGAUUCCCAGCCAUCGCA